rnacentral:rRNA from 1 species
UAGUGGCGCACGGGUGCGUAACGCGUAACCAACCUACCCACAUCUGGGGGAUAGCCCGCCGAAAGGCGGAUUAAUACCGCAUAAAACUGCAGCCCGGCAUCGGGCAACGGUUAAAGAUUUAUUGGAUGUGGAUGGGGUUGCGUGCCAUUAGCUAGUUGGGGGGGUAACGGCCCACCAAGGCGACGAUGGCUAGGGGAGCUGAGAGGCUGGUCCCCCACACGGGCACUGAGAUACGGGCCCG